GCCGGCAUAGCUCAGUUGGCAGAGCGUCUGUCUUGUAAACAGAAGGUCGUCGGUUCGAGCCCGACUGCCGGCUCCA
rnacentral:tRNA from 1 species